UACGUAGGGUGCGAGCGUUGUCCGGAAUUAUUGGGCGUAAGGAGCUCGUAGGCGGUGUGUCGCGCCGGCCGUGAAAACCUGCAGCUUAACUGUGGGCUUGCGGUCGAUACGGGCAUCACUGGAGUUCGGCAGGGGAGACUGGAAUUCCUGGUGUAGCGGUGAAAUGCGCAGAUAUCAGGAGGAACACCGGUGGCGAAGGCGGGUCUCUGGGCCGAUACUGACGCUGAGGAGCGAAAGCGUGGGGAGCGAACAGG
rnacentral:rRNA from 1 species